rnacentral:lncRNA from 1 species
GCUUGCGAGCAUUGCGGUCAUCGGUAGAGUUAAGAGUAAGAUUAGGAGCCAUGACUAAGGCUACAAAUGGGUCGAGUUGAUUCGUGACCUGAUCCAGCCCAACCUACUUAUACUAAUCUGACAUGUUUUAAAGGACUCAUGGGGUUGGGUUGGGUUCUAAAAUUAGAUUUAUUUUAUUUUUUAAGUUGAAUCUGGUUUACUAAAUUUGGACCUGAUCCAACCC